rfam:[Eubacterium rectale] ATCC 33656 chromosome, complete genome.
UAGCGCAGUGGCUUAGAUACUGUAGGAUUAUGCUCAUAACACAGAAAUGCCACGGCAUGGAUGCCGUGGCAAGGAGCUAUCGAGCCAUGGAAGGCGAGUAGCGACGGUUUCGUCAUGUAUAGAAAAAGUAAAUGCAUAAUCCAUACAGAAUCUUAGUCACGCAGCGU